rnacentral:rRNA from 1 species
CAGCCGCCGCGGGAAUACAGAGGUCUCAAGCGUUGUUCGGAAUCACUGGGCGUAAAGGGUGCGUAGGUGGCGUGGUAAGUCAGAUGUGAAAGCCCGGGGCUCAACCUCGGAAUUGCAUCCGAUACUACCAUGCUAGAGUACUGAAGAGGUGACUAGAAUUCUCGGUGUAGCAGUGAAAUGCGUAGAUAUCGAGAGGAAUACCAAAGGCGAAGGCAGGUCACUGGGCAGUUACUGACACUGAGGCACGAAGGCUAGGGGAGCAAACGGGAUUAGAUACCCGCGUAGUCCCUGUCUCUUAUAA